rnacentral:siRNA from 1 species
ACUAGGAUGGGUGACCUCCCGGG